CACCAGGAGUUUUUUGACUCCAUCAAAACAACAAAACAAUGACUGG
rfam:Tauraco erythrolophus contig8732, whole genome shotgun sequence.